rnacentral:rRNA from 1 species
GAUGAACGCUGGCGGCGUGCCUAAUACAUGCAAGUCGAGCGAACAGACGAGGAGCUUGCUCCUCUGACGUUAGCGGCGGACGGGUGAGUAACACGUGGAUAACCUACCUAUAAGACUGGGAUAACUUCGGGAAACCGGAGCUAAUACCGGAUAAUAUAUUGAACCGCAUGGUUCAAUAGUGAAAGACGGUUUUGCUGUCACUUAUAGAUGGAUCCGCGCCGCAUUAGCUAGUUGGUAAGGUAACGGCUUACCAAGGCAACGAUGCGUAGCCGACCUGAGAGGGGGAUCGGCGACACUGGAACGGAGACACGGUCCAGACGCCUACGGGGGGCAGCAGUAGGGAAUCUUCCGCAAUGGGCGAAAGCCUGACGGAGCAACGCCGCGUGAGUGAUGAAGGUCUUCGGAUCGUAAAACUCUGUUAUUGGGGAAGAACAAAUGUGUAAGUAACUAUGCACGUGUUGACGGUACCUAAACAGAAAGCCACGGCUAACUACGUG